UUCCCAUUUUCCAGCGAUGGCUAUAAAAUGCCUGGACAAAGGCAAUGGCUAAGCUGCCGUGGGCUUGGUGCUGUCCUGUGAUCCUACCUGAUGGGGCUUCAAACUUUGGAAAAAUACAUACUAGCACAUCGGAGGGAUUAACUGCUACCAAAGAAGGAUGAAGUGUUUCCCUUACUUGCACUUAAAAGAGAUGAACAGCUUUGAAGGUGCAGUUCCCGUGUCUUCUUGACCAUAUUGAAGCCAGAUUUAAAAUUAGGUAGUCAGUGUAGUUAGGUAAAUCGGGUCUAAUAUCGAGUGAAAUCUAAAAUGGAGGCCAUGAGAAUGAAUUCCCGGGAAAGUUGAGCAACUCUCGGAAUGUUAAUGAAGUCCAGGAAACAGCCCCCAACAGAUUUAAAGAUAGCCCAUCCCAAAGAAAUGUUAAUGAACAGCAAACUAGAAGAUGCUAACUCGGAAGUGCCCAGAUUACUUCUUUGGCCCACCUGUGUCCCAACCCUUCGGGCCUUCCCACCUACAUUCCAUCACCGAAAACUAUAAAAAGAGGAACACAUUCGCCCUUCAAUGGAUUCCAUCUCUUGGGUCCCCUUCUUCCUCCUGGAGAAGUCUUUUCUACUGUCCUUUAAUAAACUUCUAUUUUCCACUCUAAA